rnacentral:ribozyme from 1 species
UUUAUAUUACAUGCAUUGUACGAUUGUUGUUUUUUGUUGGAUUUUUUUUUUAUUUAUUUUGUUGCCCGAAUCCGAUUCGUUUCUUUUUUUUCUGUUUUUUUGCUGUAAAAGUUUCAACAUCAAUUUCAGACGUUAUUCUUCCCUGGUGUGACGGUGUAUUACAGAUUUUUUUGUUGAUCAAUCCUGAUUGAUGUAACCAUGCAUGUU